rnacentral:rRNA from 1 species
AAUGAGCCUGCGAGUUGUGGUGUCUGGCAAGGUUAAGCAAACGCGAAGCCGUAGCGAAAGCGAGUCUGAAUAGGGCGCUUAGUCAGAUGCUGCAGACCCGAAACGAAGUGAUCUAUCCAUGAGCAAGUUGAAGCUAGUGUAAGAACUAGUGGAGGACUGAACCCAUAGGCGUUGAAAAGCCCCGGGAUGACUUGUGGAUAGGGGUGAAAGGCCAAUCAAACUUCGUGAUAGCUGGUUCUCUCCGAAAUAUAUUUAGGUAUAGCGUUGUGUCGUAAUAUAAGGGGGUAGAGCACUGAAUGGGCUAGGGCAUACACCAAUGUACCAAACCCUAUCAAACUCCGAAUACCUUAUAUGUAAUCACAGCAGUCAGGCGGCGAGUGAUAAAAUCCGUCGUCAAGAGGGAAACAACCCAGACUACCAGCUAAGGUCCCUAAAUCUUACUUAAGUGGAAAACGAUGUGAAGUUACUUAAACAACCAGGAGGUUGGCUUAGAAGCAGCCAUCCUUUAAAGAAAGCGUAAUAGCUCACUGGUCUAGUGAUUUUGCGCGGAAAAUAUAACGGGGCUAAAGUAAGUACCGAAGCUGUAGACUUAGUUUACUAAGUGGUAGGAGAGCGUUCUAUUUGCGUCGAAGGUAUACCGGUAAGGAGUGCUGGAGCGAAUAGAAGUGAGCAUGCAGGCAUGAGUAGCGAUAAUUAAUGUGAGAAUCAUUAACGCCGUAAACCCAAGGUUUCCUACGCGAUGCUCGUCAUCGUAGGGUUAGUCGGGUCCUAAGUCGAGUCCGAAAGGGGUAGACGAUGGCAAAUUGGUUAAUAUUCCAAUACCAACAUUAGUGUGCGAUGGAAGGACGCUUAGGGCUAAGGGGGCUAGCGGAUGGAAGUGCUAGUCUAAGGUCGUAGGAGGUUGUACAGGCAAAUCCGUAUAACAAUACUCCGAGAACUGAAAGGCUUUUUGAAGUCUUCGGAUGGAUAGAAGAACCCCUGAUGCCGUCGAGCCAAGAAAAGUUUCUAAGUUUAGCUAAUGUUGCCCGUACCGUAAACCGACACAGGUGGGUGGGAUGAGUAUUCUAAGGCGCGUGGAAGAACUCUCUUUAAGGAACUCUGCAAAAUAGCACCGUAUCUUC